GACAGAGGGGGCAAGCGUUGCUCGGAAUCACUGGGCGUAAAGGGCGCGUAGGCGGGAUGGCAAGUCGGUCGUGAAAUCCUUCGGCUCAACCGAAGAACGUCGGCCGAUACUGCCGUUCUUGAGGGAUGCAGAGGAGAUUGGAAUUCCCGGUGUAGCGGUGAAAUGUGUAGAGAUCGGGAGGAACACCAAUGGCGAAGGCAGCUCGCUGGGACGGUACUGACGCUGAGACGCGAAAAGCGUGGGGAGCAAACAGGG
rnacentral:rRNA from 1 species